rnacentral:rRNA from 1 species
AACGAACGCUGGCGGCAGGCUUAACACAUGCAAGUCGAGCGCCCCGCAAGGGGAGCGGCAGACGGGUGAGUAACGCGUGGGAAUCUACCCAUCUCUACGGAAUAACGCAUGGAAACGUGUGCUAAUACCGUAUACGUCCUUCGGGAGAAAGAUUUAUCGGAGAUGGAUGAGCCCGCGUUGGAUUAGCUAGUUGGUGGGGUAAAGGCCUACCAAGGCGACGAUCCAUAGCUGGUCUGAGAGGGUGAUCAGCCACACUGGGACUGAGACACGGCCCAGACUCCUACGGGAGGCAGCAGUGGGGAAUAUUGGACAAUGGGCGCAAGCCUGAUCCAGCCAUGCCGCGUGAGUGAUGAAGGCCCUAGGGCUGUAAAGCUCUUUCACCGGUGAAGAUAAUGACGGUAACCGGAGAAGAAGCCCCGGCUAACUUCGUGCCAGCCGCCGCAGUAAUAC